GUCUCUUUGGACUAAUCUUGGAACUUCCCCAGGAAGAAAGUAAAGAAAUCUAAGAAACCUUGAAAAGGAAAAAAGAAAUCUCACCAAAGAAUAUUGGAGUCAGAUUUUCUCAAUCUUAUCCAUUGCUCCAAAACUUCAGCCCAGAAUGCUAGCCUGAAAACCCUUGAGGAAUCCUCCCUGAGAUCAGAAACUUUCACUGGAGUACCUAACACAAUGCUUGGCACCUAAUCUCUUUCUCCUGAAAAAAAUGAAAACAAAAACAAAAGCCCACACAUGUAGUAAAAAAAAAAUCCCCACCUUGGACAUGUCCAAAAAAUACAUCUCUUGCUGCAUA